rnacentral:rRNA from 1 species
UACGUAGGGUGCAAGCGUUAAUCGGAAUUACUGGGCGUAAAGCGUGCGCAGGCGGUUAUGUAAGACAGUUGUGAAAUCCCCGGGCUCAACCUGGGAAUCGCAUCUGUGACUGCAUAGCUAGAGUACGGUAGAGGGGGAUGGAAUUCCGCGUGUAGCAGUGAAAUGCGUAGAUAUGCGGAGGAACACCGAUGGCGAAGGCAAUCCCCUGGACCUGUACUGACGCUCAUGCACGAAAGCGUGGGGAGCAAACAGG